rnacentral:rRNA from 1 species
GCUUGGCCCUAAACCUCAGUAGUUAGAUAACAAAACUACUCGCCAGAAUACUACAAGCAACAGCUUAAAACUCAAAGGACUUGACGGUGCUUUACAUCCCCCUAGAGGAGCCUGUUCCGUAAUCGAUAAACCCCGAUCCACCCCACCCUCUCUUGCUCAGCCUAUAUACCGCCAUCUUCAGCAAACCCCAAUGAAGGYUACAAAGUGAGCGCAAACGCCACUGCCGCGAAUACGUUAGGUCAAGGUGUAGCCCAUGAGACGGUAAAAAAUGGGCUACAUUUUCUAUUUCAGAAAACCCCACGAAAACUCUUAUGAAACUUAAGGGUCCAAGGAGGAUUUAGCAGUAAAUUAAGAAUAGAGUGCUUAAUUGAACCAGGCCAUAAAGCGCG